rnacentral:rRNA from 1 species
AUGGCUGCCAUUUUCACCAGUACAGUUCAUCUCUUCCUUCAAAAAGGAAAAAAAAAGAGAGAAGUGGUUACGCAACUUCAUCAAUCAUUUGGCCAUGUCAAAGUUCUUAAUCCAGUAUUCUAUUUCAUGUACCAAUGUAUUUUCACUUGGGAAUUACUGUUUCUUCAGACUAUAAAUAGUUCAUCUUCGUUGUUUUGUCCAGUGUCCACUAAUUUCAGUUCUCUUUUUGUUAGAUUCUCGAAGAUACACCGCUUCAAGAAAGCAAAGGAUGAGAGUGCUUUAAGAUUGAUGAACACUUGUGCCAACUCUAUGCUCGAGAAAUUUCCUGACAUAGUGUUUGCUUAUGGUGUUCAGUGA